AAAACAUUUAACACAAGUCAAGCUCAUAUUGAUUAGAGAACACUUCUGCAGCAACUUAGUUUUAACAUCCACAAACUUGGGGAGAUCUACAGAUAAGAUACAACUGAGAUCUCCAGAUAAGAUACAACUAUUCUUUUGCUAAGUUUAUAAGAUACAAGUAUCUGCAAAUUGGUGCACUAAGCUCCCACAAUUUACACUGUAUCUUCAUCUUCAUCAUCACUUGAGCUUGAACGAGUAUCAAUGUAGAAUUCAGAAUCAAAUUCACCCUCAACGAUCCUGAUCCCUUCAAGGACAAAUUUCCCUUCCUUGUACUUCUGGCUUUCCUCAUGGGAUUUCACAUAUUUCCAGCCAACAAUCUGCCCACAGCGAACACAAAAUAUAUCCAUCACAGUGUGCAUUCCAGAAAGCAACGUCCUCUCCUCAGCCUCUCCAAAAGUUAUAUUUACCACUUCAUUGAACAGGUAUGCUCUUCCACUGCUGCAACGUAAAGACUGAAUAAAUAGCAUAAAGGAGAUUUUGUCAGACAUAAUUAAACAUUGCAAAAUGAAAUGCAAUUUAUGCAGCAAAGAACAAAACACAAUUUUCUCAUGCUAUAUACCACGACAAAGAAAGUAAACUGACAGUUCAUACACAAUGAGAUUAAAGAAACUUCUUGAGUUUCAAUUAAUUUUACUUGCUUUGAGAAUAAUGAUUGUUCAGUUUAUUACAUAAAGUAUGGAAUAUUUUCCAAGGUAAAAUCAUUGGCCGUAUAAAAAAAGAAAACUCGUCGAGGGUAUUUCUAAAUGAAUGAUGUAUAUUCAAUAUUGAUAACAUUAUUGGAACCUUUAUGCUUUGUUCCAAGUUGUCAUAAUUACUACAUUAUUCCCAUCCGAUCGAUUUAUCUAUAUGAAUAGAAAGAAAAAAAGAGACAAAUAACCUGAACCGAAGCUCAAAGUUGAUCAAACCAACCUAAUAUUUACUCUAUUUGGAGUAGCUAAAUAGCAAGAUGUCUAUGUUCAAAACAAUGUCACACCCCAAACCUCCAAAUCCCAAAUGCAACUUUGCUUUUAGUACACACAACAAAAAAGAAUCUACAAUAAAGUUCUUAUUUAAAACGACAUGUUUAAUAAGAGAAAGGUUAAUGUAUGCUUGGCAACCAACAUAAAACUCGUCAGAUUCAUGAACUUUUUCACUGAAACUAAACAAUCUGUAUUAUUGCAUCAACGACUACAAAAUUUAAAUGUACCCCUUAGCAUCAUGCAGGAUCCAACUUGGAAAAAACCUCUCCCAAGAGAUCUGCUUCAACAAAGAAAUAAAAAAUCUAGCUAAACUAUGAACUAUUUUGUUCAAACAUCUAUGAAUAUACAUAAUAUCGACAUGAUCCAACAUGCUUGAAAGCUUCCAAGUGUCUUCACACAUCACUUCUAUCUCUAGUGAAGUAGUCACUCAUUUCUG
rnacentral:misc_RNA from 1 species